AUCUUUCUAGUAUUAAGAAGUACAAGUGACUUCCAAUCACUUAGUCUUGGUUAAAGUCCAAGGAAAGGUA
rnacentral:tRNA from 1 species